UCGUGUGCAGGGGCCCGCCCAACAAGAGCCAGAUUCUCUCCUCUCACUUGGAGCCACUAAAACAUAUUGCCGUCCGGACAAUUCUUCUUCCUGUAACACAUCCAUCCAUUUCUAGCUGCAGGCAGAGCAGAGUUGAGCGUGUGGGAGUCGAAGGAGAUCGAGAUGGCAACUGCAUAUGCUCCUCCGAUGGCGAGCCAGGUGAUGAAGAGCGGCUUGGUGAGCUCCAAGCCGCGGGGGCUGUCCGGCGCCUCACUCACCAGGAGGCCCCGCUUCGUCGUCAAGGCCGUCAAGUCUGACAAGGUCAGUUGCAAUUGCAUGGAAGAGAGAGCUAAAAUUAAGCGAUUCACCACACUUGUAUCUCAUACAUAUUCUUGUGUCUCCUCUCUCUCCUACAAACAGGGGACGUACCAGGUGGUCCAGCCCAUCAACGGCGACCCGUUCAUCGGCAGCCUGGAGACGCCCGUCACCUCCAGCCCCCUCGUCGCGUGGUACCUCUCCAACCUCCCCGCGUACCGCACCGCCGUCAGCCCGCUCCUCCGCGGCAUCGAGGUCGGCCUCGCCCACGGCUAUCUCCUCGUCGGCCCCUUCGCGCUCACCGGC
rnacentral:lncRNA from 1 species